UACGAAGGGGGCUAGCGUUGCUCGGAAUCACUGGGCGUAAAGCGCACGUAGGCGGAUUGUUAAGUCAGGGGUGAAAUCCUGGAGCUCAACUCCAGAACUGCCUUUGGUACUGACGGUCUUGAGUCCGGGAGAGGUGAGUGGAACUCCGAGUGUAGAGGUGAAAUUCGUAGAUAUUCGGAAGAACACCAGUGGCGAAGGCGGCUCACUGGCCCGGUACUGACGCUGAGGUGCGAAAGCGUGGGGAGCAAACAGG
rnacentral:rRNA from 1 species